AGCGAACGCUGGCGGCAGGCCUAACACAUGCAAGUCGAGCGCCCCGCAAGGGGAGCGGCAGACGGGAGAGUAACACGUGGGAACAUGCCCUUCAGUACGGAACAACCAAGGGAAACUUUGGCUAAUGCCGUAUACGCCCGUAAGGGGAAAGAUUUAUCGCUGAAGGAUUGGCCCGCGUCUGAUUAGCUAGUUGGUGGGGUAAUGGCCCACCAAGGCGACGAUCAGUAGCUGGUCUGAGAGGAUGAUCAGCCUCACUGGGACUGAGACACGGCCCAGACUCCUACGGGAGGCAGCAGUGGGGAAUAUUGGACAAUGGGCGCAAGCCUGAUCCAGCCAUGCCGCGUGGAUGAUGAAGGCCUUAGGGUUGUAAAGUCCUUUUAACGGGGAAGAUAAUGACGGUACCCGUAGAAUAAGCCCCGGCUAACUUCGUGCCAGCCGCCGCAGUAAUAC
rnacentral:rRNA from 1 species